AUUGAACGCUGGCGGCAUGCCUUACACAUGCAAGUCGAACGGCAGCGGACCUUCGGGUGCCGGCGAGUGGCGAACGGGUGGGUAAUAUAUCGGAACGUACCUUUCAGUGGGGGAUAACGUAGCGAAAGUUACGCUAAUACCGCAUAUUCUGUGAGCAGGAAAGCAGGGGAUCGCAAGACCUUGCGCUGAUUGAGCGGCCGAUAUCAGAUUAGCUAGUUGGUGAGGUAAAGGCUCACCAAGGCGACGAUCUGUAGCGGGUCUGAGAGGAUGAUCCGCCACACUGGAACUGAGACACGGUCCAGACUCCUACGGGAGGCAGCAGUGGGGGAAUUUUGGACAAUGGGCGCAAGCCUGAUCCAGCCAUGCCGCGUGAGUGAAGAAGGCC
rnacentral:rRNA from 1 species